rnacentral:rRNA from 1 species
UAGGGAAUCUUCGGCAAUGGACGAAAGUCUGACCGAGCAACGCCGCGUGAGUGAAGAAGGUUUUCGGAUCGUAAAACUCUGUUGUUAGAGAAGAACAAGGACGUUAGUAACUGAACGUCCCUGACGGUAUCUAACCAGAAAGCCACGGCUAACUACGUGCC